rnacentral:rRNA from 1 species
CUACGGGUUGCUGCAGUGGGGAAUAUUGCACAAUGGGCGCAAGCCUGAUGCAGCCAUGCCGCGUGUAUGAAGAAGGCCUUCGGGUUGUAAAGUACUUUCAGCGGGGAGGAAGGGAGUAAAGUUAAUACCUUUGCUCAUUGACGUUACCCGCAGAAGAAGCACCGGCUAACUCCGUGCCAGCAGCCGCGGUAAUACGGAGGGUGCAAGCGUUAAUCGGAAUUACUGGGCGUAAAGCGCACGCAGGCGGUUUGUUAAGUCAGAUGUGAAAUCCCCGGGCUCAACCUGGGAACUGAAUCUGAUACUGGCAAGCUUGAGUCUCGUAGAGGGGGGUAGAAUUCCAGGUGUAGCGGUGAAAUGCGUAGAGAUCUGGAGGAAUACCGGUGGCGAAGGCGGCCCCCUGGACGAAGACUGACGCUCAAGUGCGAAAGCGUGGGGAGCAAACAGGAUUAGAUACCCCUGUAGUC